CAUGUUUUUGUGUCCACGACUGUCGACUCCACAUAGAUGGCAGAUAGUAUUCGGGUCGUGCAGAGCAUUCUACAGUCGUUUAGGAUACUGAAGCGGGUUGCCUUUCCUAGAUCGGGUUUUAGGGAAAAGGGGUUUAGCGUUGUUUCAAUCUUAUUUCAAUUGUGUUUACGCGCCACACUCUCCUUUUUCAAUGGAUGGUUCAUCAAAAAGGCGUGAUGGCCGAAAGUGUAACUGACCAAAGAGGCGAUUUAGACGAUUUACAAGAAGAUAGUCCUACCACCACUAAUCUCAACGAUGCCGACGAUGAACAUCAAAGAAGCUUAUUACCGUGGAGCCAUGGGUAUUUUGCCUAUUGCGACAAAAGAUUGAACUAUAAAGUUGCUUAAACUCUGGACAUGAUGAUAGCUUGCUUGUACGUGCCUGUGGUAUUUUCCUGUGUAAUUAGGGAAGUGUAGCAAUUCAGGUUAGCAUGCAGGAUAUGCACAGAAAAUGGCAAGCGUGUGGGAGAUGGUUGCUCAAGAUCAAUAACCACGUUGGAAGUUACAUGAAUGAUCGGCCUUUUGCUUCUGUGAAGAUAUCAGGAACUGGAUUCGUUACAUUGAACAACAUGCUUCUGAUAAUGUACACAAGAUUCUGGUGGGAAACAAGGCUGACAUGGAUGAAAGCAAAAGGGUCUGCUAUAUUCCCUUUAAUGUCGCGUACUUUGCAUGCAUGCAUGGUGUAUAGACUCUUUUAUUGCUGGCUUUAGAUGUCUCCAACAUUCAUCUGAGAAAAUCCCUUUUUUUUCCUAUAUCUCUUUUUUUUAGCAGAGGCUGUUCCCACCUCAAAGGGGCAGGCACUUGCUGAUGAAUAUGAAUGUAAAGACGAAUAUGAAUGUAGAAGAAUAAUAAGAAUGCAUUUUAAAUGAUAAGAUGGUAGACUUCCAUUUGAGUUUUCUGCUGUAUUUAGGGUCAAUGGAAUAAAAUUGAGAUUAUUCUUUCCCCUGCUUUUCUAAUAAAAAUGCCAACAAACAUAAUCUAAAAUUGGUAUACAAAAAUUCUCAGUAUGGUACUUGCAAAUAGAUAAGUUUUUUUUUUCAACUUUUAAGUUCCAUGUAUGAAAUUUGCUGGUGGAGCAUAGGUACAGGCAGUACCACACCCAGAUGCAUUUGGUAAUAUCUUGGUUUGAGCAAUCAACUGGAGUUGGCUUUGUCAAGCUAUACACCAGACACAGCCUUGCCUCUUCAGACCAUUUCCAAGAAAAUUCUGGCGUCUCAAGCAAGAGCUUAGGUAAAGAAGAUAGUCAAGGAGGGAAGAUGGAGGGUUCAAGGCUUAAAUUUAUUGAUAAUCAUCUCAAGCAACAAAAGUUCCUCGGCAGUUGGGAAUGAUCCAACACAAUGCUUGGAGACGUCAGAGAGGGUUUCCAGAAUAUUCUGUUUCAAUUCUUCAUGCUUGGCUAUUUGACCACUUCCUCCACCCUUAUCCCAAAGAUUCGGACAAACAUAUAUGCUCGCAAAGCAAACAAGUCUUAGUAGGAGUCAGGUGUCUAAUUAGUUCAUAAACGCCCGAGUGCGCUUCUGAAAGCCAAUGGUAGAAGAAAUGUACAUUGGGGGUGAGCUGUUUUGCUGUUAUACUAAUCAAGAGGCCCCUCCAGUUGUGUAAUCAUAUGUAAUUGCUGUCUACAGGUCCCAGCUCUUAUCUUUCUAGAGCCGGCGACGACAACUCAAAAAAUGUCCCAGCUCUUAUCUUUCUAGAGCCGGCGACGACAACUCAAAAAAUCCUUGAGAUGUGGCUAGGGGCAUAAUGUAAGCAACGAAAAGUUGGCUAUAAGACGAUUGGAAAUUAUUGACAUUGUUCCAUCUGCAACUUACACAUGGGAUUAUAUUGGUGGGAGCAACAUUAUUGACACAACUCUGUUCAGGUUAGAAAAGACUGGUCUUGGUUUGCUCGCUCUUAGCUAGAAUGGGGCAGGUUUCUUUCUCGUGUUCAAAGCUUUUUUAUUGCCACAGAAAAAUGGAAGGCAUGCAUGCACGAUGCACCUGCAUAUAAGCUUUUACAGGAAGUGAUGGAGUCCCGCAGAUGCACAAAUAAAGGCCAAAGCACAGACUUUCUUCCCCAUGAUGUAAUUCUGCAUCCGGGAAGAAUGUGAAGGGUGUGUUUUUUGUAACACCCAUCAAGAUUUACAGAUGGACAAGUCUGGUAUUGCAGGAGAAGUAGGUGUGAUGGCUGGUUUUUAUUGCAGUUUUUCUUGGAGAUCUAGCAAACCAGGAGAAGUAGGUGUAUUGGCUGGUUUUUAUUGCAGUUUUUUUUGGAGAUGUGGUUGGCUUGCUGUGUUUGGAAAUAAACAAAUCAAUCAUUCUUGGUUGAAAUUGUAUUCUUGGUUGAAAUUAAUCAUUCUUGCUUGUAAUUUAAAUUAUAUUAGCUAUAAUACAGAGAAUAUAUAGCACAGAGCCCGUGCCAAGGCACGGGCUUUUACGCUAGUUAUAUAUAUAAUAGAUCAACAUGCCACACUUUAUUCGGCAUGUAAUUAUUCUUUUAA